rnacentral:rRNA from 2 species
GUAACGGCGAGUGAAGCGGGAAGAGCUCAGGUUGAGAAUCCUCUGGACUUGUAACCUGAAGGUAAGCUCCUGUGACCGCGCCCGUGGAAGAGUGCUUCGAAUGCACCGCCGGAGAGGGUGAGAGCCCCGUCCCGCAGGCCGCGCUAGGUCACAGAUGGAGUGAUCCGAAGAGUCGGCAUGCUUGGGAAUGCAUGUCAAAUUGGGUGGUAAAUCCCAUCUGAAGCUAAAUACGGACAGGAGACCGAUAGCGAACAAGUACUGUGAAGGAAAGAUGAAAAGUUGUUUGAAAAGGCGGUCAAAAGUACCUGAAAUUGCUGAGGGGGAAGUGCAUGGCCCCAGUGUGGCUCUGCCGGUCAGCUCGGCUUGGAGGAGGCGGAAAGCCUAGGUGGGUGGGACGAUGGCUCCGGCCUCAGAACCCCCGUCGGCGCGCUUCGUCCGAGCCCGGUUGACGAAAUGGGUCCAUGCAGCCCGUCUUGAAACACGGACCAAGGAGUCUAACAUGUGUGCGAGUACUCGGGUGUCAAACCCCAGUGCGCAAUGAAAGUGACAUGGUGCGCGCAGCACCGGCCGAUCAUGAGUCUUUGACGAACGAUUCGAGCAAGAGCACAAAUGUUGGGACCCGAAAGAUGGUGAACUAUGCCUGAGGAGGGCGAAGCCAGGGGAAACCCUGGUGGAGGCUCGCCGCGAUUCUGACGUGCAAAUCGAUCGUCAAACUUGGGUAUAGGGGCGAAAGACUAAUCGAACCAUCUAGUAGCUGGUUCCCUCCGAAAUUUCCCUUAGGAUAGCUGCAACUCGUACAGUUUUAUCAGGUAAAGCGAAUGAUUAGAGGAUUCUGGGGCUAUGUGCCCUAGACCUAUUCUCAAACUUUAAAUGGGUAAGAAGGUGUGGUGCGCCUGAUCGGCACCCGCCUGCGAAUGGGAGUUGCUAGUGGGCCAUAGCUGGUAAGCAGCUCUGGCGAUGCGGGAUGAACCGAACGUGAUGUUAAAGCGCCGGACUAUCCGCUCAUCAGAUCCCAGAAAAGGUGUUGGUUCAUUUAGACAGCAGGACGGUGGC